AUAAGAAAGCAGGUGCAAGG
rnacentral:piRNA from 2 species